rnacentral:rRNA from 1 species
GACGAACGCUGGCGGCGUGCUUAACACAUGCAAGUCGAACGGAAAGGCCCUGCUUUUGUGGGGUGCUCGAGUGGCGAACGGGUGAGUAACACGUGAGUAACCUGCCCUUGACUUUGGGAUAACUUCAGGAAACUGGGGCUAAUACCGGAUAGGAGCUCCUGCUGCAUGGUGGGGGGUGGAAAGUUUCGGCGGUUGGGGAUGGACGCGCGGCUGAUCAGCUUGUUGGUGGGGGAGUGGCUUACCAAGGCGUUGACCGGUAGCCGGCCUGAGAGGGUGACCGGCCACAUGGGGACUGCGAUACGGCCCAGACUCGUACGGGAGGCAGCAGUGGGGAAUAUUGUAUAAUGGGAGGAAGCCUGAUGCAGCAACGCCGCGUGCGGGAUGACGGCCUUCGGGUUGUAAACCGCUUUCGCCUGUGACGCAGCGGGAGUGACGGUAAUGGGUAAAGAAGCACCGGCUAACUACGUG